AGUCCCUCUGCCAUAUAUUGCGGAAAGACGAGACCUUUUAGAUUCUAAAAAACAAAACAAGCAACGGCUUCUAGUUUAGACUAGCGCUACAACGCUAUGCUAUUCAUAUAGUUCUUGUUGAAGCCGUUGUGCGUGAGUCUAAGUCUAAAGACUCAAGCGUCUUCCUUGCUCCAACAAGCAACGGCA